rnacentral:lncRNA from 1 species
GAUUACAGGCUUGAGCUACCACGCCUGCCCUAAUUUAAAAAAUUUUUUUGCAGAGCUGGGGUCUCGCUAUGUUGACCAAGGUGGUCUCAAACUCCUGGACUCAAGUGGUUCUCCCACCUUGGCCUCCCAGAACACAUUACAAGCAUAAGCCACUGCACCUAGCCAAAAAACUCUUUGUCUCCUGAUCUGUUGCCCUCAUUAUACCUAAAUAAAAAUGAAACCUGGCCAGGUGCAGUUGAUCACAACUAUAAUCCCA